GAUGAACGCUAGCGGCAGGCCUAACACAUGCAAGUCGAGGGAGAAGCCCUUUCGGGGGCAGAAACCGGCGCACGGGUGCGUAACGCGUAUGCAACCUACCUUUCACAGGGUGAUAGCCCGAAGAAAUUUGGAUUAAUACCCCAUAAUAUUAUUGGAUGGCAUCAUUUGAUAAUUAAAACUGCUGUGGUGAACGAUGGGCAUGCGUCCUAUUAGCUAGUUGGAGUGGUAACGGCACCCCAAGGCUACGAUAGGUAGGGGUCCUGAGAGGGAGAUCCCCCACACUGGUACUGAGACAGGGACCAGACUCCUACGGGAGGCAGCAGUGAGGAAUAUUGGGCAAUGGUCGGAAGACUGAACCAGCCAUGCCGCGUGCAGGAAGAAUGCCUUAUGGGUUGUAAACUGCUUUUAUAUGGGAAGAAUAAGGCGUACGUGUACGUUGAUGACGGUACCAAAUGAAUAAGCAUCGGCUAACUCCGUG
rnacentral:rRNA from 1 species